AUGGCAGUAGCUCAGUGGUAGAGCUCCCGCUUGGUACGCAGGAAGACCUGGGUUCGAUUCCCGGCUGCUUUC
rfam:Toxocara canis scaffold241, whole genome shotgun sequence.